rnacentral:tRNA from 1 species
AGCCCGGAGCGGGACUUGAACCCGCAGCCUUCUCCUUAGGAGGGAGACGCGCUACCAUUGCGCCACACGAGC